CCAAACCCCCUACCCUUUUUCCUUCUCCUUUGAUGCUGCAUCGAGACACACAUGUGGAAGAAUAUUUUGUUUGUUGUUACAAUAAUCAACUAACAAGAACUUUCGGCAUCACCAUCUUCAUCUAAUUCAUCUCUUUUCAAGAACAUUAAAUUGGUUUUGGAUAACGUGGAGAAUUGACUGUCGAUCUUCUCAAGCACUUAGAUUGCUAAGGUAACCAACAGUAAGUCUUGGAUCAUCUUGGCAUUUUAGGGCCAUUCUUUUGACUUUGGACGUACAAUUAGCGUCAGACAUAUGAGAACUAUCAUCUUAUUAGUUUAAUCGUACUAGACUGUCCAAAUAUUUAUCUUGUAUUUAGUGGUCCAAAUUCCAUAUAUGGAUGACUUGUAUCCGUAUUCUGGGGUUCACAUUUGAACGAUUGUACUUGUAUUAGACUUGUAUUUGGUAUUAAAUAGAUGUAAUUUUUAUUA